rnacentral:sRNA from 1 species
UCUUAUAACCGACUCAAAAUAAACAUCAGUUAUAACAAGCGAUGCAAAUAUUAUGUGAAGUUGUAUCAGUUGUUAAUAAAUCGAUGUAAAUUAUUUGCAUCAACAAGAUACGAAUCAUUUAUUUAA